rnacentral:tRNA from 1 species
GAGUCUGUAGUCCAGUGGCUAAGAUACAUGACUAGUACCCCUGAGGUUGCUGGUUCAAGCCCCAGUCCAGCCACA